rnacentral:lncRNA from 1 species
CGGAGAUGCACUGGAUGUUCCCCUACCCUCCCUGUGCAUUUAGCAUAUGCUCCUAUGGAUAACUCCCUGAGGUGCUUCUCCUGGCUGUGUUUCAGAUCAGAGAGGUUAAAUACUCACUCUACAAGUAAACAGUUUCCAGCUCUGCCUGAGCUUCUUUUCCAUGUUUUUGGUUUUAGAUGCUCUUUCCCCUCUGGCCCAAAUCAGUGUUCAAAUUACCAGCUAGGACUUGAAAACUUGUUUAUGUCUGGAAUGCUGGAUCUGCAUGAGACGUUAGAGAUCAUGUCUUCUUUCUUUAUAGAUGAAGAAUCUUAAGAUGGGAUAUGGUCAGGACUUGCCAGGGGACCUGUAGGUCACUGGCAUUGCUGGAGUUAGAACCCAGAGCCUUUGAACUCCAAUUGUGUAGGCACAGUGUCUGAAUUACUGCUGAGCUUCCUUUUGGACCCUGAGUGUCACACUCUGCUGAGCCCAAGCUGUUUCCUAUUAAGCUGUAGGUUUUUUUUUUUUUUCCCCCUAAGGAACUCUUCCAUGUGACUUUUAAUUCUAUAAACAAUUACAAUAAUGACUUCAUAUGAAGUAGUUUCCUGAUUGAUAAGGCACCUCCAAACCUGAAACAACUGGCAUUUCCUGCCAAAGUGAGCAUAUCCCCAAAUCACCCCAAAGCCCACACCCAACCACAGAGACACUGAUUUAAAAAAUUAGUUUAAAAAGACUUCUAAGAUUCUAUUAAAGUCAUCUUCUGGCACAAAAAGUUGUUCAUAUACUAAUGUACCUGGGGAAAUCAUGGGAUGCUAGCACAGCCAGGAGAAAACAUUAGCAUUUACUUUUAAUUCCCCUGUAGUUAAUAUGAAAGAAGACUUCUUCAAGGCUACCCUGAAGCCUCAUCACCAUGACCUACAAUUUCCCAUUGCUAUCUUGAUUUUUUUUUUUAAAACAAACCAGCACAAGGACAAUGAAUUGGAUGUAAAGGCAUCUCAGCUGCAGCUGCUGGAGUUGCCUUGGAGUUUGGGGUGCCUAAGGGCCAGAACUGCUCAGGUCUUAUGCUGAAGGAUGCUGACAGCACCAAGAACUGCAGGCUUGCCCUCAAGCUGCACAGCACACAGCCCACCUUAAUGAACUACACAGGUGCUUCCAUACCUUAGGGAAAUACAAGACUUGGGUCACAAUGUUCUCCUCCAAGUAAGAUUGGUCUAAAAGCCAUCUUCCCACAAUGGAUCCAGAAGUGCCAGCAAUUCACACUUGUUUCCACGGAAGAGAAAUCUGUACUCAUCAUCCAAUAGCAAUCACAAAAGAGAAGACUAGAACCAUUCUUAAGUUUUAGCAGGUGUAGGUAUCACUGAGGGGAGCUUGCUUACACACCAUUCCAGCUUUUACCCCCAAAUAUUCUGAUUAGGAAGGUUUGUGAUGGGGCCUUGAACUUGUAACUCAUGCAUUUAGGUUUUUCAGGUUCCCGCAGUUCAUUGCAUCUUUGCAAACAUUCUAAUAGGAUAACUGGCCUGGGAAUGGGAGUCAGGGGAUUAUUUUGUUUUCUUCCUUUUCCCUACCUGCACAUGUCAUAUUGCUGUCAUCCGGUCUGAAGUUUGGUGAAUUAUUUUCCCUGGGUAUUGGUUAUUAAAA